CUUUUACAAUCUAUUCAUCAGGAUGUUGAUCUUAAUGGCUGGAAGCUAAGACGUAUUGUAGAACCCAGCAGACGUGAACCUUAUGAGUAUGUCUUCCAGAACUAUGUUCUUAAAUCUGGAGCCAAAUUAAAGGUCUACGCCAAGUCACAAGAGGCUCUUGCCUUGCCAGGGGAUCUUGUCUAUGAAGGCGCAGAGACAUGGGGAGCUGGCAACAGGGCAACAACAAUAUUAUACAAUCAGAGUGGACAGGAGAGAGCUCGUAUAGAGGAGACAGCCAGCUUUCAAUAGACAGAACAUUUGGAAACCAUUCUCAACUCUCCUCUAUCUUAUGUAACCAUUGGGAGAAAUGAAAAGUAGAGAGAUGACUAUUCAAUGUAGACACUUAAUACUGCAUUAGGGCCUCCUUUGUUUUCUAUUUAGUUGAUUUUCUCCAUCCUAUUAAAUGUAGACUUUUAGUUGUCAGUAGGAUUCUACUGGGCAAUGGGAGUGCACACGUGUCUGGGGAAGUGUGUGUAAUUGUGUUGUUUUUUUUCUGUGUUAAAACAUUCUUUAUAAGCAUUUUUUACAAUACCUCUAUUCAAGUCAGAAAUGUAUGUAACCAGCAGCCUGCACGGAACCUGCAUGGACGCUGAUCUGAAAAAGGCUCUAACUAUUUUCCUAGAAAUAUAACAUUUCCAUACAUCACUGAAAAAAGCUACUAGCUCGUUGCCCACACGGGGGAAGUUUUAGUUUAAUUGUUAUAAUUUUUCUAAGUAAAAAAAAAAUAUUUAAAUUUGACUUGUGAACUAGACGUAGAGCUAGAGCAAACAUCGGUGUACUGAUAACAUGAGUUGUUUAUUCAAUUGAAAGUUUAUUGAUAGUUUAUAUGAAGCUUUGCUUAUACUAUUAUGUUCUAAGUGUAAUGAAGGUACCAAUAAAUAAUUGGCCGUUAUUCA
rnacentral:sRNA from 1 species